rnacentral:rRNA from 1 species
AUUGAACGCUGGCGGCAGGCCUAACACAUGCAAGUCGAACGGUAACAGGAAGAAGCUUGCUUCUUUGCUGACGAGUGGCGGACGGGUGAGUAAUGUCUGGGAAACUGCCUGAUGGAGGGGGAUAACUACUGGAAACGGUAGCUAAUACCGCAUAACGUCGCAAGACCAAAGAGGGGGACCUUCGGGCCUCUUGCCAUCGGAUGUGCCCAGAUGGGAUUAGCUAGUAGGUGGGGUAACGGCUCACCUAGGCGACGAUCCCUAGCUGGUCUGAAAGGAUGACCAGCCACACUGGAACUGAGACACGGUCCAGACUCCUAUGGGAGGCAGCAGUGGGGAAUAUUGCACAAUGGGCGCAAGCCUGAUGCAGCCAUGCCGCGUGUAUGAAGAAGGCCUUUGGGUUGUAAAGUACUUUCAGCGGGGAGGAAGGGAGUAAAGUUAAUACCUUUACUCAUUGACGUUACCCGCAGAAGAAGCACCGGCUAACUCCGUG